UGUGGGAGCGAGCCUGCUCGCGAUGAGGCCGCAACAUUCAAUAUCUUCAUUGGCUAACAGACCGCUAUCGCGAGCAGGCUCGCUCCCACA
rnacentral:sRNA from 1 species